rnacentral:rRNA from 1 species
ACGAGAAUAUUCGACAAUGGACGAAAGUCUGAUCGAGCGACGCCGCGUGAUGGAUGAAGACCCUCUGGGUCGUAAACAUCUUUUGUGAAGGAGAAAGCGCAAUCAUUUAUGUUUGCGUUGAUAGUACUUCAAGAAUAAGGGGUUGCUAAACUCGUGCCAGCAGCAGCGGUAAUACGAGUGCCCCAAGCGUUAUCCGGAAUCAUUGGGCGUAAAGGGUGUGUAGGUGGUUUAGUUAGUCUUCUGUUAAAACCUCGGGCUCAACCCGAGACUUGCAGUGGAAACGGCUAGACUUGAGAGUGCGAGAGGUGAAUGGAACUCAUGGAGUAGGGGUGAAAUCCGUUGAUAUCAUGGGGAACACCGAAAGCGAAGGCAAUUCACUGGCGCAUUUCUGACACUGAAACACGAAAGCGUGGGUAGCGAACGGGAUUAGAUACCCCCGUAGUCC